UACAGAGGCCCCGAGCGUUAAUCGGAAUCACUGGGCUUAAAGGAUGCGUAGGCGGACUUCUAAGUGUCGUGUGAAAGCCCACCGCUUAACGGUGGAACUGCUCGGCAAACUGGAAGUCUCGAGGAAGGUAGAGGCCGGUAGAACGAAUGGUGGAGCGGUGGAAUGCGUAGAUAUCAUUCGGAAUGCCAAAGGUGAAGACAGCCGGCUGGGCCUUUCCUGACGCUGAGGCACGAAAGCGUGGGGAGCAAACAGG
rnacentral:rRNA from 1 species